rnacentral:rRNA from 1 species
AAAUGAAUUGACGGGCACCCGCACAAGCGGUGGAGCAUGCUGUUUAAUUCGAAGAUACGCGAAGAACCUUACCUAGAUUUGACAUGCCUGGCAAAGCUAUAGAAAUAUAGUGGAGGUUACCCAGGACACAGGUGGUGCAUGGUUGUCGUCAGCUCGUGUCGUGAGAUGUUCGGUUAAGUCCGAUAACGAGCGCAACCCUUAUCUUUAGUUGCUAACAUUUAGUUGAGUUCUCUAAGGAUACUGCCGGUGACAAGCCGGAGGAAGGUGGGGAUGAGGUCAAAUCAUCAUGCCCCUUACAUCUAGGGCUACAGGCGUGCUACAAUGGCCGAUACAAUGAGACGCAAUACCGUGAGGUGGAGCUAAUCUUCAAAAUCGGUCCCAGUUCGGAUUGGAGUCUGCAACUCGACUCCAUGAAGUUGGAAUCGCUAGUAAUCCUGAAUCAGAAUGUCAGGGUGAAUACGUUCCCGGGUGUUGUACACACCGCCCGU